ACAAUAAUCACUUGUAACCUGCACGGUCUCAAACAGAGUACGGAGAAGAGCAACGGUCGAUAGUUGAGAUCGGCCUCGUCACAGAAGAACCACACUAGAACCGGACAGAAAAAAACAACUGAAAACCUGUCAGACCAUUGGAGAAGUGAACUCAAACGAGCCUGAGAGAAAACGGAACCUUUGUUUUCAGAAGCAGCAGGGAGCCGAACCGGAGGAAAGAUGAUGAGUUUUCUGCCAUACUUCUCCGCUGAGACAUGGACCCUCCUGGCCCUCCUCAUCACCCUAAUAGUAGUGUACGGGUACUGGCCCUAUGGUGUUUUCACUAAGAUGGGUAUCCCUGGUCCCAAACCCCUACUUUACUUUGGCACAAUGAUGGAGUAUAAAAAGGGUUUCACUAACUUUGACACAGAGUGCGUUCAGAAGCAUGGGAGAAUCUGGGGGAUCUAUGAUGGGAGGCAGCCUGUUUUGUGUAUCAUGGACAAAAGCAUGAUCAAGACCAUCCUGAUUAAAGAGUGCUACAACAUCUUCCCCAACCGCAGAGACUUCCAUCUGAACGGUGAGAUGUUUGAUGCGCUGUCCGUCGCCGAGGACGAUACAUGGAGACGGAUUGGCAGUGUCCUCUCACCUUCCUUUACCUCUGGACGACUAAAAGAGUGGUUGUGUUGCAGGUUCUUUGGGCCCUACAGUAUGGACGUGGUCACCAGCACAGCCUUCAGUGUGGACAUUGACUCUCUGAACAACCCUUCAGACCCCUUCGUCUCCAACAUCAGGAAGAUGCUCAAGUUUAUCCUGUUCAACCCACUGUUACUCCUAAUCUUGUUGUUUCCCUUCACUAGUCCUAUUUUGGAGAAGAUGAAGUUUUCUUUCGUCCCGACUGCGGUGACAGACUUCUUUUACGCCUCGCUGGCUAAGAUCAAAUCUGGACGUGACACUGGGAACUCAACUAGUCGGGUGGAUUUCUUACAACUGAUGAUCGACUCUCAGAAAGGCAACGACACAAAGACAGGAGAGGAGCAGACUAAAGGACUGACUGAUCAUGAGAUCUUGUCUCAGGCCAUGAUCUUCAUCUUCGCCGGCUACGAGACCAGCAGCAGUACUAUGAGUUUCCUGGCCUAUAACUUGGCAACCAACCCCCAUGUCAUGACCAAACUGCAGGAGGAGAUAGAUACUGUGUUCCACAACAAGGCUCCAAUCCAGUACGAAGCUCUGAUGCAGAUGUACUAUUUGGACUGUGUGUUGAACUAGUCUCUGAGACUGUACCCCAUCGCCCCGCGACUGGAGAGGGUCGCCAAGAAGACAGUGGAGAUCAACGGCAUCGUCAUCCCCAAAGACUGCGUUGUCCUGGUUCCCACGUGGACCCUCCACCGUGACCCAGAGAUCUGGUCAGACCCUGAGGAGUUCAAACCAGAGAGGUUCAGUAAGGAGAACAAGGAGUCUAUUGAUCCGUACACGUACAUGCCGUUUGGGGCGGGGCCCAGGAACUGUAUCGGGGUGCGUUUCGCCCUGAUCAUGAUCAAACUGGCCAUGGUCGAGAUCCUCCAGAGUUUCACUUUCUCCGUCUGCGACGAGACCGAGAUCCCAUUGGAGAUGGACAACCAGGGUCUGCUGAUGCCAAAACGACCAAUCAAACUGAGGCUGGAGCCCCGUUAAAACACCUCUAGCAACACCGCCGCCACCUCUCUUUAGUGUCCAACAACGUGACCGUAUGCAGGAGCACCCAACCCUGGAGUACCCUUCUCUCUCUCUCGCUCUCUCUCUUGCUCUCUCUCUCCCCCCCUCUCUCCCCCCCACACACAAAAGGGCUACAGACAGAAAUACUUCUCCGAACAUGCUGUUUAAUCAGCUUCUUGAUCGAUUAUCUUGACAAAGGAUAAAAUGCUCACUUACAGGGAUGGAAACAUUUGUGGACCAAAUUUGAGAGAAAUUGGCUUUUUGUGCGUAUGGAAAAUUUCUGGAAUCUUUUAUUUCAGCUCAUGAAACAUUUUUGUUCAACAGCCUCACUAUCUAUCUAUCUAUCUAUCUAUCUAUCUAUCUAUCUAUCUAUCUAUCUAUCUAUCUAUCGAUCGGCUACUGAAUAUUCAGUUCUUAUCCUGCUGUAUGAGUCACGUCCUGACCCUUGUAAGAUGUCAUUUUCUAUAGUAGAGUAGGUCAGGGCAUGACAGGGGGUGUUUUUGGGUGGUUUUCUUGUUAUCUGUUUCUAUGUGGUUUUUCUAGGUUUCUAUUUCUAUGUUGGGGUUGUUGGAUGAUCUCCAAUUAGAGGCAGCCGGUCCUCGUUGUCUCUAAUUGGAGAUCAUCUUUAAGUAGGGGGUUUUUCCACUUGGUUUUGUGGGUUGUUAAUUUUUGAGUAGUGUUAUUUCUCUUUGCGUCACGGUUUUGUUAUUUUGUUGUUUCAAGUUAUUGGUGUAUUGCAAACGUUUCACGGUAGUAAUAAAUAUGUGGAACUACAACCAUUCUGCGCUUUGGUCCGAUCCUUUAAACAGCCGUGACAAUAUGCUACUGAAUAUUCAGUCCUUAUCCUAACCCUGCUAAAGGCUACUGAAUAUUCAGUCCUGACCCUGCGAUAGGCUACUGAAUAUUCAGGCUGAGAUUCAAUAGGCUACUUAAUAUAACAUGAUAAAAAAAAUAAGACUGAAUUCGCGAUAAAUGUAUGAUAUGUCAGUUCAAUCAGAAAUUACCUUUUAAUGGCACAUAGCUGACAAAGUGCUGGGAUUGAAUCCUGGUCUCAGUCUCAUGCUUGGUUUGAGUAGGACUCAGAAACCCAUUUCCACCAGAUAAAAGAAAGAUAGUAAUACUAUGGAUGCAUUAGGGGUACAUGUCUUGUCUUGUUAAAGUUAGACAGCAGGAGGUAUUAAAUCCAUGGCAUGAUGUCAUGCCUGGAUCCUGCACACUACUGGCUGGUGGCUGGAAUUCUCCUAGAAUGUAGAACUCUAGCUGGUGUUCUCUAGAACUGUACUCUCAUUCUGUUCCUCUGGGUGUUUUGCUGUCCAGUCAUUCCAAAAUAGAAUCUGUACUGUCUGUUGAGAUGAUCCCUGCAGCUGCUUUGCUUUUGCUUUAAUCAUCACAAACCAAUAAAAAACAUCACACUAA